rnacentral:rRNA from 1 species
GCCAGUAGCCAUGUCACCCUGCAACUCAUACCUGGCAGCCCACUGAAGCUCAGCAGGUGUGAGCCUGGUCAGUAUCUGGAUGGGAGACCACCUGGGAAAAACUAAGGUUGCUGCUGGAA